rnacentral:rRNA from 1 species
UAGGGAAUCUUCCGCAAUGGACGCAAGUCUGACGGAGCAACGCCGCGUGAGUGAAGAAGGAUUUCGGUUCGUAAAACUCUGUUGUUAGAGAAGAACAGCGCAUAGAGUAACUGUUAUGCGUGUGACGGUAUCUAACCAGAAAGCCACGGCUAACUACGUGCCAGCAGCCGCGGUAAUACGUAGGUGGCAAGCGUUGUCCGGAUUUAUUGGGCGUAAAGCGAGCGCAGGCGGUCAAUUAAGUCUGAUGUGAAAGCCCCCGGCUCAACCGGGGGGGGUCCUUGGAAACUGGUUGACUUGAGUGCAGAAGAGGAGAGUGGAAUUCCAUGUGUAGCGGUGAAAUGCGUAGAUAUAUGGAGGAACACCAGUGGCGAAGGCGACUCUCUGGUCUGUAACUGACGCUGAGGCUCGAAAGCGUGGGUAGCAAACAGG